CGGUCGGCUGCCGAGCCCGGCUCGGGCGGCGCGGCCGCGGACGGGCGACGGUGAUCUGUCGCGACGGCUCGUCUCCGGUAUAGCCUGGCGCGACGUCUAUACCUGGACUAAUGCAGGUGACCACGGUUUCGUCGGCAAUUACCUGUACAGUUUGUCGUCCUUGCGGUGUGUGUGACCCUGGCCGCUGCCGGAGGAGGCUAUGGGGGCGCUCAGAGCCACGCCAACGUCGAAAUCUACAACGCGUGGGGAGGUGCUAAAUAUGGUGUGAAAAAUCAGCACGCAGUGAAGGUAGGCGGGCACGGCGGUGGAAAGGGUUACGGCGGAGGAUACAGCAAAUUUGCCGGCGGAAACGCACAGAUCUACGCCGAAGGACACGGCUCUGGUGGAUCCGGAUACGGCGGUGGAUACGGUGGAUACGGCGGUGGACACGGUGGAUACGGCGGUGGACACGGCGGAUACGGCGGCGGAUAUUCCUACAAGUACAGCGCCGAUGUCGGACACGGUGGAUCCGGCGGAUCCGGCCAUGGGGGCGGACACGGUGGAUCCGGCUAUGGAGGCGGACAUGGCGGAUCCGGUCACGGAUCUGGAUACGGGCACUAAGGUGUUUCCCGUCGCUAUAUGAGCUCGUGUUUGCAUGUUGCGGUAGUGGUUGUCCGUUGUCCUGUGUUUGAGCUGAGCGUCUAUAAAUGUUUGUAGGACAUAAUACACUACGAGUGGAACGCCGAAAUUUGGCUGCCUUCCCCGGGACCGGCGAUAUAACGAUUUUGUGAUGCGUCAAACGAAGAUGAAUAAAAUACCUACAUCGAAA
rnacentral:misc_RNA from 1 species